rnacentral:rRNA from 1 species
AACGCGAAGAACCUUACCCAGGUUUGAAAAGCAGAGCAAUUAGGCUGAAAGGUCUAAGCCCGCAAGGGGCUCUGUACAGGUGCUGCAUGGCUGUCGUCAGCUCGUGCCGUGAGGUGUUGGGUUAAGUCCCGCAACGAGCGCAACCCUUAUCAUUAGUUGCCAACACGUAAAGGUGGGGAAUCUAAUGAGACUGCCUAGGUUAACUAGGAGGAAGGUGAGGAUGACGUCAAGUCCGCAUGGCCUUUAUACCUGGGGCUACACACGUGCUACAAUGGUCGGUACAGAAGGCAGCAAGACCGCAAGGUGGAGCAAAUCCCAAAAGCCGACCCCAGUUCAGAUUGUAGUCUGCAACUCGACUACAUGAAGCCGGAAUUGCUAGUAAUGACGCGUCAGCAACAGCGUCGUGAAUACGUUCCCGGGCCUUGUACACACCGCUCGUC